rnacentral:rRNA from 1 species
GACAGAGGUGCCAAGCGUUAGGCGGAAUCACUAGGCUUAAAGCGUGUGUAGGCGGGCGAUCAAGUACCUUGUGAAAUCCCACGGCUCAACCGUGGAACUGCUGGGUAUACUGGUUGUCUUGAGCCAGCUAGGGGCGAGCGGAACAGACGGUGGAGCGGUGAAAUGCGUAGAUAUCGUCUGGAACGCCGAAGGUGAAAACAGUCUGCUGGGGGUGUGCCGACGCUGAGACACGAAAGCCAGGGGAGCGAACGGG